CAAUAGCGUAUAUUUAAGUUGUUGCAGUUAAAAAGCUCGUAGUCGGAUUUUGGCUGAGAACGAACGGUCCGCCGUUAGGUGUGCACUGUUUGGUCUCAGCUUCCUGGUGAGGAGGUGUGCUUCACGGCCACUUAGUCACCGUGGUUACUUUGAAAAAAUUAGAGUGUUCAAAGCGGGCUUACGCUUGAAUAUAUUAGCAUGGAAUAACACCAUAGGACUCCUGUCCUAUUUCGUUGGUCUCGGGACAGGAGUAAUGAUUAAGAGGAACAGUUGGGGGCAUUCGUAUUUCAUUGUCAGAGGUGAAAUUCUUGGAUUUAUGAAAGACGAACUUCUGCGAAAGCAUUUGCCAAGGAUGUUUUCAUUG
rnacentral:rRNA from 1 species